AUUUUUUCUAUUUUUAUUGUUUUAACUAUUUUUAUGGUUUCAAGCGCAAGGAAAGAAUAAAUUGGAUAUCUCU
rnacentral:ribozyme from 1 species